GUGUCAGUAACUUAUUGUUUUAAAAGCGAACUCAUAAUCCCUUGGUCGCUGGUUCGAGUCCAGCUGGGCCCACCA
rnacentral:tRNA from 1 species